CAGUCGCCGCGGUAAUACGUAGGGUGCAAGCGUUAAUCGGAAUUACUGGGCGUAAAGCGUGCGCAGGCGGUUCGUUAAGACAGAUGUGAAAUCCCCGGGCUCAACCUGGGAACUGCAUUUGUGACUGGCAAGCUAGAGUCUGGCAGAGGGGGGUGGGAUUCCGCGUGUAGCAGUGAAAUGCGUAGAUAUGCGGAGGAACACCGAUGGCGAAGGCAGCCCCCUGGGCCAACACUGACGCUCAUGCACGAAAGCGUGGGGAGCAAACAGGAUUAGAUACCCCAGUAGUCCCUGUCUCUUAUAC
rnacentral:rRNA from 1 species